rnacentral:lncRNA from 1 species
AAUGAUUGUAUUUCAGUAGUAUUUUGAGAAGUAGAUUGUAUUUCAGUAUUGAAAUUAUAAAAGGGUUACCGAUCAUCCCUAGAGCAAGUGGUAAAGGGUUUUGUGGUUGGUACUCUAGACCCAAGUUUGAAUCCUAGUUGAUUCACAUUUCCAGCUAAGUUUAUUUCUAAAUAAAAUAAACAAAGCGGGUAGCGUGCUAUCUAUCUCUCAAAAAAAAAAAAAAUUAUAAAAGGGCUUGUUU